rnacentral:rRNA from 1 species
UACAGAGGGGGCAAGCGUUGUUCGGAAUUACUGGGCGUAAAGGGCGCGUAGGCGGCCUGUUAAGUCGAACGUGAAAUCCCCGGGCUCAACCCGGGAACUGCGUCCGAUACUGGCAGGCUUGAAUUCGGGAGAGGGAUGCGGAAUUCCAGGUGUAGCGGUGAAAUGCGUAGAUAUCUGGAGGAACACCGGUGGCGAAGGCGGCAUCCUGGACCGAGAUUGACGCUGAGACGCGAAAGCGUGGGGAGCAAACAGG